ACCAGUCCCUCCCCCAAACCUCUCAGGCUACAGCUGGGGCCAGGGUGCCAUCCUUUUUAUCAAUACAGCAGAGCAGCCCUACCCAAAGGCUGUGGUCCAGCACUUGGUGUUUAUUAGCAGUCUCUGAUGGGAUACAAACAGAAACUGAGGAAAGAGAGACCACACAAGCAGGGGGUGCAGCAGAGGGAGAGAGAGAGAAGCAAACGCCAAAUGAGCAGGGAGCCCAAUGCGGGACUCGAUCCCGCAACACCGGGAUCAUGACCCGAACCAAAGGUAGAUGCUUAACCGACUGAGCCACCGAGGAAUCCCCAAGCACUGAGAAACUUUUUUUUGACAGAGUGAUGUUGUGUUGAAUCCCACAAUAAAAAUCGCAGGCUUGUAUUUUGUAAGAAUUGAAUUUUACAAUUUCAUCCUCUAUUAAUUCAUUCUUAUUAUAAAAUAAAAAAUGUACAUGUUUGCAACUGAUUGGAAAUAAAAAGCCUACAGAUGGUUGAGAAACACUGCUUUAGUGAACAGCCUCUCAC
rnacentral:lncRNA from 1 species